rnacentral:rRNA from 1 species
UACGUAGGGUGCAAGCGUUAAUCGGAAUUACUGGGCGUAAAGCGUGCGCAGGCGGUUGUGUAAGACAGAUGUGAAAUCCCCGGGCUCAACCUGGGAACUGCAUUUGUGACUGCACAGCUGGAGUGCGGCAGAGGGGGAUGGAAUUCCGCGUGUAGCAGUGAAAUGCGUAGAGAUGUGGAGGAAUACCGAUGGCGAAGGCAAUCCCCUGGGCCUGCACUGACGCUCAUGCACGAAAGCGUGGGGAGCAAACAGG